ensembl:antisense Gm15541 predicted gene 15541
AUAUGCAGACCACGCCUACCUUCUUGCAAGCUGAGGCUCUUAGCUGCCGACAGGGUCUCAAGGCACUGGCUGUCUGUCCUGAAGCUCACUGUGAAGACCCUGAACUCACUGAUCCACCUGCCUCUGCUUCCCAAGAGCUAGGAUUAAAAGCCUGUGCAAUCACACCCAGCUUCCAGAAGAUUGCACUCAGGUCAUCAGGCUUGGCAGCAAGCACCUGUACCCACUGAGCCCAUCUGCUGGCCCCUCUGCUGGGUUUCGUCAUCGUCAUCGUCGUCAUCAUCAUCACCACCAUCAUCAUCCUCAUAAUCGAGGGCUGACUCCAAGAUCUUGUGCAUAUUAGGCUUCCAGGUGGGGAUGCCAAGGCCCAGAGAAGCCAGGACAUGCCUUCUUGGCACCCUAACCUGUGGACACCCACCUCAGCGCUGCGGCUCCUGGCCUCCAUAGCUCUGCAGAGAGUCACCUGGGGCUCGAGCUCCCGUGUCCUCUCCUCCUUCUGCUGCAGGACCACCUUCAGCUCCUCAUGGAGCAGCUGCCGCUGAGCCUGGGGGUAUAAGAUGGAGGCCUGAGGCAAGGAGGGAUUGUCGGGUAGAGAUGGGGCUUGCCAGAGAGGUCGAGUGCAGGGAUGGCAUCAGGCGGGCGGAGAGUAGGGCCCCUCACCGCUUCUUGAGUGAUGGCCUUUUCUCCUGACAGGAGCCCCACUCGGGGUGAUGCACAGCUGUAAGCGGGAAUCUCACUCUUCCUUUGAGGUCUUGCUGCCUGCCAAGGAGAGACAAGGGGCGUGGGACAUCAGACAGACCCAGGGAAGAAAGAGAGGGGCAUGCGGAACCAGCCAGCUCUCACCUGAGGGUCACUUCCAGCUUCCUGGGCCUCCUGGGUCUGGGGCUCUAGGAAGAACAACACACACAGUAGUAUUUAUUAUCUCAUAUCCCCUGUGCUCGUUCUGACGAUUCUUUGUGCUCAAGUGCCUUACGGUUAUUUCCCAGGCCAGCCUGGAUAGCCUCCGUAGUGAGACACUGCCUCAAAAGCCUGAAUGCAGAGCCAGGAACGCUUGCCCGGUAGUACACACUGGCAGUCCCAUCAUGUCUGGUUUGUUCUGUGCUAGUGAGUCAAUCCCAGGGUUUUGCGCAUGCGAAGCUACCAUUUUACCACCUGAGCUACAUUCCUAGGCCUCGCUUUGAGUUUGAGACAGGGUCUUUGAACACAUUAGCCUCAAAUUCUCUAGGUAGCUGAAGAUGACUUUGAGCUAUUGCCCACCUCCCACCCCAUUUCAGCCUCCCAAAUACCGGGGUCACAGGCAAAUGUCACCGUCUUUAGUUUACCAGACAGCUACUUUACUGAAAAUAUGCCGUCUCAGAGAAGCCAAGCAAAUUUGUACCGGUGUGGCACACAACCCAAGAAGAAGGCACAGAGAAGGCAGCCUCCAGCUGGGCCCUCCUGGGGACAUGGAGGAGGUGACUGUCUCUGAGCUUGGCCCCCACCUGGCAUGCCAGCCCGCCAACCCCUGCCACACAAGAAAAGGUCAGGCUCAUGCGGCACAUUCCCUCACACAAUGGCCAGUCUGCUGUGCCAGUCACAUUCUGCCCCUGCCCACCCGCCCACCCACCCACUGCCAUACAAUGGCCCUUCAUAGCUCGGCCCCGGAGCAAAGGAGAUCAGUCAGUAGAGUGCUUGCCUAGCAUGCACAAAGGCCCUGGGGUCAGUUCUCCAGAAUUUCCUAAACCAGGCAUGGUGGCACACAACGAUAAUCCCAGUAUUUGGCAGGUAGAGACAGGAAGAUGAAACAAUUCAAGGUCAUUCUUAGCUCCCUAGGCCAACCACAUGAAAUGGGUCUAUGCAACACAACAAACUUAGGUCACAAUUGGCUGAACUAGACAACCCUCUGGACGCAUCCACACAUGCUGUAAUCACACCCCCUCAAGCCCACCACUGGCCCCCAAUAUCUGAAAGCUCCUGUCAGCAACUCCUAGGAAUCCCAGAUUCUGUCUCUAAGCCCAGCCUCCCUUGUGAACCCUUUCGGCUCCUGCACACAAGCUGAACACCUCUCCUAAGACGGCUUCCCUGUGAACCAGGCCCUGGCACAGGGGCAGAGAUCAAGGCUUGGUGAGAAGUUUCCUGUCCAGAGUCACAAAGCCAGGAUGAGGCAGAGUAAAGACCUAUGCCCUUGGCCUCUACUCUACACCUAACUAAUUUGCGGAGCUGCUGGGGAGAGUUGAGGUGAGCAAGAGGAGUCAAGCUGAAUAAAUUCCAGAGGACCUUGUCGGUGCCAGGCCUGGCCUCGGGACCCUAUUUUGCUGACAAGUAAAGGAAAGUUAAAGACAGACUGUCGUAAACUGGGUGUGGCCAGAGACUCCUGUAAUCAAAUAGGAUUAUGAGUUAAAAUGUAGCCUGAGCUACAUGAGACCCUGUCUCAAAAAUACUGAAAAAAUACUGGAAGGCAGGAAGAUUUAUGGUUUAUGUCCAGCAACAUGUUCUGGCUUCAUCCUGAACAUGACCAUC